UACGAAGGGGGCUAGCGUUGCUCGGAAUCACUGGGCGUAAAGGGUGCGUAGGCGGGUCUUUAAGUCAGGGGUGAAAUCCUGGAGCUCAACUCCAGAACUGCCUUUGAUACUGAAGAUCUUGAGUCCGGGAGAGGUGAGUGGAACUGCGAGUGUAGAGGUGAAAUUCGUAGAUAUUCGGAGGAACACCAGUGGCGAAGGCGGCUCACUGGUCCAUUACUGACGCUGAGGUGCGAAAGCGUGGGGAGCAAACAGG
rnacentral:rRNA from 1 species